rnacentral:rRNA from 1 species
UACGAGAGCCUCGAGCGUUAUCCGGAAUUAUUGGGCGUAAAGGGUGCGUAGGUGGUUCUGUUAGUCUUUUGUCAAAUUCUUCCGCUUAACGGGAGAGCCGCAAAAGAAACGGCAGGACUUGAAAGUGCGAGAGGUGUACGGAACUCAUGGUGUAGGGGUGAAAUCCGUUGAUAUCAUGGGGAACACCAAAUGCGAAGGCAGUACACUGGCGCAUAUUUGACACUGAAGCACGAAAGCGUGGGUAGCGAAU